rnacentral:rRNA from 1 species
AGAGUUCGAUCCUGGCUCAGGAUGAACGCUGGCGGCGUGCCUAACACAUGCAAGUCGAACGAGAUGCUUAUCGGAAAGCUUCGGCCGGAAGAUAAGUUAUCUAGUGGCGGACGGGUGAGUAACACGUGGGUAACCUGCCUUAUGGAGGGGGAUAACAGAGAGAAAUCACUGCUAAUACCGCAUAAGCACACAGUACCGCAUGGUACAGGGUGAAAAGAUUUAUCGCCAUAAGAUGGACCCGCGUCUGAUUAGCCAGUUGGCAGGGUAAAAGCCUACCAAAGCAACGAUCAGUAGCCGAUCUGAGAGGAUGACCGGCCACAUUGGGACUGAGACACGGCCCAAACUCCUACGGGAGGCAGCAGUGGGGAAUAUUGCACAAUGGGGGAAACCCUGAUGCAGCGACGCCGCGUGAGUGAAGAAGUAUUUCGGUAUGUAAAGCUCUAUCAGCAGGGAAGAUGAUGACGGUACCUGACUAAGAAGCCCCGGCUAACUACGUGCCAGCAGCCGCGGUAAUACGUAGGGGGCAAGCGUUAUCCGGAUUUACUGGGUGUAAAGGGAGCGUAGACGGAAUGGCAAGUCUGAAGUGAAAUACCCGGGCUCAACCUGGGAACUGCUUUGGAAACUGUUGUUCUAGAGUGUUGGAGAGGUAAGUGGAAUUCCUGGUGUAGCGGUGAAAUGCGUAGAUAUCAGGAAGAACACCGGAGGCGAAGGCGGCUUACUGGACAAUAACUGACGUUGAGGCUCGAAAGCGUGGGGAUCAAACAGGAUUAGAUACCCUGGUAGUCCACGCUGUAAACGAUGAAUACUAGGUGUCGGGGUGCAAAGCAUCUCGGUGCCGUCGCUAACGCAAUAAGUAUUCCACCUGGGGAGUACGUUCGCAAGAAUGAAACUCAAAGGAAUUGACGGGGACCCGCACAAGCGGUGGAGCAUGUGGUUUAAUUCGA